GUGAGACUUUGUCUAAAAGACGAAGAAGGGAAAAAAAAUGAUACAAAGAGGUGAAAAGAAUCUAUCAAAGGGCUACCACAGACCCCAAGACAGUAAGAGCUCUGGAUGAUCCAAGCAGAAGAUGUGGGACAUCCAGGCUGGGAAGAUGAAGAAGCCAAGAAGAGUGUAAUAGGACACUGAAGUCUAUUAAGCCAUGAAAGCCCUGCAGCAAUGACAUGAUAGUCUCCAUUCUACAGAUGAAGAAACUGAACAACUUGAAGGUCUGUCACCUGCAGGAAACUAACCCAUGCUCCCAAAGCCGAUUAACUCCUUCGGAGCAAGGCUUAAAUGUUUGUUGCUGUAUCAACCAAUAAACUAUCUGAUAAACACUUUUGCUCCUAGGAUUUUAGCAACAUUGCGCCCAAGGAAGCACAAAGGUAUGGGAAGCUCAGUUCCCCACAGGCCUCCUCAUCCCCUGUUGAUGUGGAAACACUCGCUUGAUUCACUUGUUUAUGUUACCUGCCUGGCCUCUGAAAGCACUGAAGUUUACAGUUUCUGGAAAUAAAAUGGUAUGUUUCAGCCCCUUCCCUUCUCUCCUUUGCUCAUCUGCUGUUGAAUACAAUGAUUGAUACCAAAUAUUAUUUUUUAAAAUUAAGUAUGCCUACUUCUAAUAAUAAGAAUGAGUGUAGUUCACUAGAUGUUAGAGUUUUAUUUAGGAAUAUAAAAUAAACCACAAAUUCUCUAGUAUUUUCUCUUACAAAAAACAAAUAUGGAAUAUUUCAAAGAUAUACACACACACUGGACCCCUUCCCCCCGAAAACACACAAAUUCUUGAAAAGCUGGUUUUGUCAUCUUAACUCCCUGAUUAUUGCUAUUUUAUACUUUCAACUAAAGUUAACCCAACUCCCAAACUUUCUCCUUUCAGUUUCUUAUCAAUGAAAAAAAUCAGAUAAGUUCUUAAACUUUAGUGAGAAGUAGUAUUGAUUUUGGCCUAAAAUGCCUAAAACUUUAUUUACAUUUAUUCUUAUCAAUCUUACCUAUUUCUAUCAGGCAGGCCCACUGUGCUUAUAUUUUGCAUUUUUGGUAAAUAACCAAAGUCAAAUAUACCUUGAAGUCAUAAACAGAAAGAAAAAAUAAAAGCUUGUAAAUAUGCAUUUACAUGCAAUAGCAGGUCUCUGUGUUUCCAAAGGAAAAUAUUUGUACACAAAGUAAAUACCACAUUAUGGGACUUAGUUAUAACUAAAAUUUGAGAAAUGUACUUGCUUUGCAUGUGUGCCUUAGAUAUUUAUUUAAUUUAAAGCAUUUGCCUAAGCUUACUUUUUCCCAAACUCAAAAUCACAUAGAGUUUCUAAAUUCUGACAUUUUCAUUAAGUUUCUGACAUGCCUGAACAGGGAAAAUAAAGUAUUGCCAAGUAUCCAUACAAUAUCAACUUAAAUCAAAAUAUGCAUGGUAAGCAAAUAUAGUAUGAGUUAAUUGGCUCUAAAUACACUAGAUCCUUUAAUUCUUUUCUGUGUUAUCCUUAAUUAGGGCCAUAACUACUUUCUUUUGCUAUUGAAUAUUUAUCACAUAUAUUCUCUUAGGUAAUAGUAAUAAAAUAGAGAAAUUUAUUUUUUAUUUUUACAAUACAUGUGCAAGCAAUCACACAUUCUCUGUAAAAUCUGAUGUUUGGAAUUCCGGUUUCUGUGCUAUUUGGUUAUCCUGGGGGAACUGGAGUUGGUUUGGAGUUGGGGACUUUUUUUUACACCAAGUAUUGCAUUCCUCACAUUUAUGUAAAUUAUUAAGGAAAAUUAAACCCUGGUCAUUUUUAAAAAACACCUACAAAGUAAUUAAAACUAUUUGGGAAAGUCUUUUAAUAUUUGGCCUAUUUCAUGUAUCUUAUAAAAGAGUCCUUUCAUUUAUUCACAUAGUCAAUUAUUUCAGUACUUUAUAAGAGUAAGUUAUUAAUUUUAAUAUAAAUUAACAAAGAAAGCUGUAUUAAAAUUUUCAGUUGAAGUUGGUUGUUUGGUGGGGGAAGGGA